rnacentral:rRNA from 1 species
GAUGAACGCUGGCGGCGUGCCUAAUACAUGCAAGUCGAGCGAACGGACGAGAAGCUUGCUUCUCUGAUGUUAGCGGCGGACGGGUGAGUAACACGUGGAUAACCUACCUAUAAGACUGGGAUAACUUCGGGAAACCGGAGCUAAUACCGGAUAAUAUUUUGAACCGCAUGGUUCAAAAGUGAAAGACGGUCUUGCUGUCACUUAUAGAUGGAUCCGCGCUGCAUUAGCUAGUUGGUAAGGUCACGGCUUACCAAGGCAACGAUGCAUAGCCGACCUGAGAGGGGGAUAGGCCACACUGGAACUGAGACACGGUCCAGACUCCUACGGGAGGCAGCAGUAGGGAAUCUUCCGCAAUGGGCGAAAGCCUUACGGAGCAACGGCGCGUGAGUGAUGAAGGUCUUCGGAUCGGAAAACUCUGUUAUUAGGGAAGAACAUAUGUGUAAGUAACUGUGCACAUCUUGACGGUACCUAAUCAGAAAGCCACGGCUAACUACGUG